UAAAGAAUUUCGGUUAUCGAUGGGGAUGCGUUCCAUUAGUUAGUUGGCGGGGUAACGGCCCACCAAGACGACGACGGAUAGGGGUUCUGAGAGGAAGGUCCCCCACAUUGGAACUGAGACACGGUCCAAACUCCUACGGGAGGCAGCAGUGAGGAAUAUUGGUCAAUGGACGAGAGUCUGAACCAGCCAAGUAGCGUGAAGGAUGACUGCCCUAUGGGUUGUAAACUUCUUUUAUAUGGGAAUAAAACAGGGUAUGCAUACCCUCUUGUAUGUACCAUAUGAAUAAGGAUCGGCUAACUCCGUGCCAGCAGCCGCGGUAAUACGGAGGAUCCGAGCGUUAUCCGGAUUUAUUGGGUUUAAAGGGAGCGUAGGUGGAUUGUUAAGUCAGUUGUGAAAGUUUGCGGCUCAACCGUAAAAUUGCAGUUGAAACUGGCAGUCUUGAGUACAGUAGAGGUGGGCGGAAUUCGUGGUGUAGCGGUGAAAUGCUUAGAUAUCACGAAGAACUCCGAUUGCGAAGGCAGCUCACUGGACUGCAACUGACACUGAUGCUCGAAAGUGUGGGUAUCAAACAGGAUUAGAUACCCUGGUAGUCCACACAGUAAACGAUGAAUACUCGCUGUUUGCGAUAUACAGUAA
rnacentral:rRNA from 1 species